GGAAAAGAGAGCAGGGCUGGGAUCUUCACAGGUGCUGAUGGUGGUGUUGUAUCUCAUCAGCCAUGCAGUUCUGCAGCCUUCAUCAGUGUGUCCUAUUCUUCCUCAUAUUCAUGUUUACCCCUGCUUCUACUCUGGAUUUUACUUCUCUAAUGGUGAAGCUGAAUCAGUCUGCGGUUCUUCCCUGUAAACAGAACGUCUCUGAUUCUCACCGAUGGACUGUGAUUGAUAAACCACGUCUUAUUGUGGCUGAGUGUAAUCAGACAUCAUGCUCGUCAAAGGAGGGGUUUAACAUGUCUCAUGAUCAGUAUCUGAAGGGAGAUCUGUCUCUCACCAUCAUUGCAGCUGAUUACAGUAACAGAGGUUUGUACACGUGUGAAUGUGCUGGUGAAGAGGUCAAUAGUGUACAGCUCAGCA